rnacentral:misc_RNA from 1 species
ACUUUGUCACCUCGUAAAUAAAAAAUUCAAAAAAAACUUAACCAUCUGCCUUACGACAAAAUAAGAAACAUUUCGAUCCAAACACACCCACCAUUGCGUGUAAAAGCCAAAAGCAGAUGGCAAAGCGAAAUCAAUACACAAAACAUCCUGAUCAGAAAAUCAUUGAAACCCUAUGAAACAAGGCGAAAAACUCAGUUCCAACAAGUUGUACAAACACAAUAGGACAUCAUAUCAAAGCAACCAUCUCAUCAAACCCACAAAUCAAACGAUCAAAACAAUGAUUGCCAGAUAACAAAAUGGGAAAACCAACAAUACCCAGAAGGAAAAAUGGAUCAAAAUCAUCGAAGCAAAGCAAGGGAUUGGACAGUAAGAGCACUAACC